rnacentral:rRNA from 1 species
UACGAAGGACCCAAGCGUUAUCCGGAUUUAUUGGGCUUAAAGGGUGCGUAGGCGGAUUGUUAAGUCAGUGGUGAAAGCUCCGAGCCCAACUCGGAAACUGCCAUUGAUACUGAUGAUCUUGAGUACAUUUGAGGUGGGCGGAAUGUGUCAUGUAGCGGUGAAAUGCUUAGAGAUGACACAGAACACCGAUUGCGAAGGCAGCUCACUAAACUGUAACUGACGCUGAGGCACGAAAGCGUGGGGAGCAAACAGG